rnacentral:pre_miRNA from 1 species
UUCAAAAUCACCUAGACAUCUUGUUACAAUACAGAUUCUAUUUCAUCAGUGUUCAGGUAGAGAUCUGAUAUUCUGCAUUUCAAACAAGCUCCCACAUGAUGCUGAU